rnacentral:rRNA from 1 species
GACAGAGGGUGCGAACGUUGUUCGGAAUUACUGGGCGUAAAGCGUGUGUAGGCGGUUUGCUAAGUCGGGUGUGAAAGCCCCGGGCUCAACCCGGGAAGUGCACUCGAAACUGGCAGGCUAGAGUACUGGAGAGGUUGGUGGAAUUCUCGGUGUAGAGGUGAAAUUCGUAGAUAUCGAGAGGAACACCGGUGGCGAAGGCGGCCAACUGGACAGAUACUGACGCUGAGACACGAAAGCGUGGGGAGCAAACAGG